AGAGUUCACAGGCACUUCGUUCAUCAGUUCACUAACACAGGUGCCAGAAGGCAGGAAGCAAUAUAAGGCUAUCACAGAGUUUCAAGUCACAUGCGCUGCAUGGUAAAAUCAAGUUACUGAAGAAACAGAUGGUACAAGCAUCGUGCCAUUGCAGACCUUAUACUGGAACAAGAACACACGCUCCUAUCUCAUCUCAUUAAGUUAACAAAUGCUUCACACGGUGAUGGGAGUAGAGCGCACAUGAGGGCAAAGCUAGUAAGGGCGAUAUCGCCGGCUGUGCCCUUCGCCGCCUCUGCUACUGUCUCUUCGGUCGCCACCCCUCCGUGGUGGGGGCGGGGGAGGCAUUCCACCAGGUUGUUGCCUGUAAAUGUAAGAACACGCUGUCACAAACUGCAAAUAUGUGCUUAGACAGACAUUGAGCUUCGAUGGGUGUUGUGUUGUAGACAAAUGGUCUUACAGGACAUAACCAAGGCGACCAUCGGGAAGCACCAUCGGCACCAUCCUCAUUCCUGC
rnacentral:lncRNA from 1 species